UGAGUGACAAUAACAUAAGAACGUUACCGAAUGGAAUCUUUGAUGCAUUGACGAAGCUACAGAAACUUGGAUUAUAUGGAAAUCGUCUAAUUUGCAAUUGUCCAUUAGUCGACAUAGUUCUCUUGGUGAAAAGAAGACGAUUACAGUGGAUUUCCCGUCCUUCCUGUCACAGCCCUGUGACUCUAAGAAAAACAUUGUUGAAGGACCUGAAACCUCAAGAAGUAGUUUGUGAUCCAGAUUUCACCACUGGUACUACCGACGUGGAAACAACAGUUUCUGAUUCCACCACUGGUUCUACCGGCGUGGAUACAACAGUUACUGAUUUCAUCCCAGUUUCCACUGAUGCAGAAACUGUCUUUUCGACAAUAACCGGAUUUGGCAAGUAUUCAACAUGUACCAACCAUUUUGAACAUUGUAUAAAACACUGAUUUGUAAAGUAGCAAUUUACAGUAUACGUCAAUGACACAUGAUGCAUGAAUUUAUCAGCAAUGGAUGACAUUGUAUCUCUUGCCCCUAACAUCAUUGAAAACAUCGAUUUGAAAUGGCUUUAAAGCUUGAAGAAUUCCAAUCCACCAGGUAAACUCCUUGUGUAGAGAUUGGAUUAUUGUCCAAUAUCUAAACUGCCCUCGGCAUCGGAAGUAAGUUUGUUAUUUUAUGUAGUUAUUUACAAAUGUAUGACAUACCCUAUAAAUGCAUAUACAUGUACAUGCGCAUAUAUAUAUGUACAGAUACAUCUUUAAUGUUAACAAUUUGUCCCACAUACCAUUGUGUACCGUGAGUAGGAUCUAAUUUGAUGCGAUUUCGAAUGACUUUUAAACAUUAAAGACAUCUGACAUAUGUCUACAUAAUCAGAUCUGUCUUGUUUGAUAUGCCGCUGAUUAAGGUGUUAUCAGUAGAACGUGGAAACAGUCAUCAUUCUCAUACAGCUGACAAUACGAGUCAACUGAAUCUUUGCGUGAUCCUGAUUAAUUGUGAAGUUUUUGUUUUUUUACCUGGGGUCAACUUGCACAACAAUUUACUGUUAGUUAUUGUCUCAAAAGUAGCAUAUCGUCACGUGCUUAGGAAAAAUGAUGAUACCUUUAUACAUUUCAAAUAAAUUUCCGUAAUGUAAUAUAUAUUAUAAAGCAACAACUUUUUUCAUUCAUGUAUUGAAAUCCAUCAAACGGACACACUGUAUAAAAUGAAAAGUGAUCAAUUAGAACAGCUCACAAAUCAAUAAAACCAUGGAAGAUUCACCAAUGCACUGCUACCUAGAGACCGUAGUAGACAUGUAUCCCUGUCUUCAGCGGUGAUGGGCCUUUAUAUCCAUAUAUUCAACUCUGGUGUGUAUUUAUAUUCCAUUUGUCAAUGCUGGUGAGUAAAACUAUUUUCUCUCUCUAUGGAAUAGGCUACUAUAAAGCAAAACAUCCUUAACGUAACUAUGUAAAAAGUUACACGUUUACUUGUUAUGUACAAGUUCACCUUUUGUUUGGUGUCUAUAAGGUAUAAUUUUACUCGGUAUGUGUUUAUGAUGUCAUACGUUUUCUCGGUAUAUACAUCGUAUACGUUCACUUGGUAUGUUCAAGUCCCACUUUUACUUUAGUUAUAAGUCUACUCUGUGUGUAUAAGGCAUGCGUUUACAUCGUCUAUACAAGUUAUUCGUUUACUCGCUGUACGCGUAUUUUGUACGUCUGGAGAGAUGAGGGAUCGAAUAAAAAAUCACAUUAUUUUCCUGUUUAUUACACUUAUUACAAUGACGACAAUAAUCACAAACAUGUAAUACGGUAAGUUUUAAAUAUUAUUUUAUCAUUUAUUUCUAUUAUCGUAUUUGAACAUUUCAGGACAUCAGAAAAGAAGAAGAUGUGACUGUUGGGUAAACAAUGGCGUGGUCUGCUGUGGGUUUUUUCUUUGGAUCGGUCGGUGCCAGAUACUAACGGGCGGGUUAGGGUUGCCAGUUUUUCAUACCGUUUGUUACACCGUUCUUCAUAUACUGAUUUUGCCUAUGGAUUGCUUUGCUUACAUGGUCAAGAUAUAAGACACACCAUGCAGAUUAAAAUCCAGACACACAGAUGGGAUUCGAGCAUUCUACAUUCCGCGCAUAAUUCAGAAGCUCUAUCCACUACGCCGCUGGCGUUGAUGACAUCUGUUGAACAUAACCUGUUUGGAAGAUAUGAAAUCACUUCCUUAAACAGUCAAAUUUUGCUGGUUACACCAUCUCCGAAUAUAUUUCAAGGACAAUAUGUUGAGAAGUGUGUACAAAUGAUGACUACUGGAUAGUACGAGAUAAGCAUUACAUCACCAGUAAGAGACGCAACACUAUCGUCAUUUGAUGAUUUGCCCACUGGACAUGCCACGACUGCCACUCCAGUUCACUCGGCUGUACAUUGAAUUAGUAUUGGCUUCGGCUGGAGGGAGAGCUCAGACUCUGAUGGACUGGUCUCUCACUCUGCGGGAAUAUGUUGCUCUUAUCCGUUAACCACUUAUCAUUCCGAGGAACGACCAUGCUGAUCAGAACUCACCAGUACCUCCACAACUAAUAGGAUCCAGAAGUACUUACCAGUACCUCCACAACUAAUAGGAUUCAGAAGUAUUCAUUGUAGAUCAGAACUUACCAGUACCUCCAUAACUAAUAGGAUUCAGAAGUAGACUUAUCAUAUUAGAUCAGAACUCACCAGUACCUCCACAACUAAUAGGAUUCAGACUGAUCAGAACUUACCAGUACCUCCACAACUAAUAGGAUUCAGACUGAUCAGAACUUACCAGUACCUCCACAACUAAUAGGACUCAGACGUAUUCAUUGUAGAUCAGAACUCAUGAGUACCUCCACAACUAAUAGGAUUCAGAAGUAUUCAUUGUAGAUCAGAACUUACCAGUACCUCCACAACUAAUAGGAUUCAGACGUAUUCAUUGUAGAUCAGAACUCACCAGUACCACCACAACUAAUAGGAUUCAGAUGUAUUCAUUGUAGAUCAGAACUUACCAGUACCUCCACAACUAAUAGGAUUAAAAAAUAGUCUUAUCAUAUUAGGUGUUUUCACCCCAAUCUCAAAUGGUGUGGUUUAUGCAGAACCUACAUUCCCUAUGGUGAACUGAAAAUACUUCAAGUGAAAAUUGCCACAGGAUGACACAGAUAUCUCAUGAUGGAGACGUCACCAAUGCCGGUGAAGGGCGGCAAAAUUUAGGCCUAUGCUUGGAGUUUACAGCCUUUGAGCAGGGGAUCUUUAUCCUGACACACCUGCUGUGACACAGGGCCUCGGGUUUUGUCGUCAUAUCCGAAGGACCGCCCCAUUUAGUCGGCUCUUACGACAAGCAGAGAUACUGAGGACCUAUUCUAACUCGGAUCAUCACGGAGAUGUAUCGGUCAUAAUCACAUCCACAAAGAUUUAAUUCCACAAGAAACCAACAACCAACCAAAAGGACGGACACAGAAUUGUGUACACUCGAUUUAAAAUCUAGAUAUUAAUCUUAAUUUCUAUCAAUAUGUUGAAGAGUGUAUACAAAUGAUAACUAUGUGAUGAUACACAAUAUACGGUCUGUCAUCGUGAAGAAACGAUAACAUACGUGUUGUAAUAAUAUGUGGUCAACUGGCGAGAAAUUUACAUUUUGUAUGAAAAAAAAAAAUAAUUCAGUUAGGUAUGGUGGAGCUGAAAUAAUUUGUUGAAACUUUCAUUUGUUAACUACCAACUUUGUUUCCUCAUAGACUUUCCGAUCAUGUGUGUUUUAUUUGUGAUUUUGUCAUUUAUCCAAUGUUUUGAAAAGAAGAGACUCGAAGUAUUAAGCCACGGCUAAUAGCAAUCUUCAACACUUAUGCACAGUUUGUAUUUGUAAUAACCACUGAGAUAUGACUGAAAAAUUUGCAACACGACGGAAAACGUCAACGAUUCAGUUAACUGACUACAGGGGACGAUCGAAUUAAAUGUGCUGCAUGAACAAUAUACAAAAUUAAAACUGUAUUUAAAUUUAGAUUUGUACUUUCUUGAAAUCAUAUAUUUUCAAACUUAGGUUCAUGAUAGCAAUUGCAUGCUGGGGGCAUUAUGCAGUUUUAUAUUUCUCAAAUUGUAUGAACCGUCGGUAUAUUAGUCAAAGGUAGCACUCUUUGGGGGGAAAUCAUUGUAUUCAUUUUUUUUUUUACUUUUUGGAUGCAUUGUCAAAUGACGCAUUUGAUUUGAUGGGUAUGUUUAAUUUUCUACCAUUUCUUUAUAUGAGUAUUGUUUAUUGGCCUGAAUAUACAUAUCAUGUAACAAUGCUGCAAUAUCACAAUACAUUAUUAUCCUAUCCGCAGGAUUGAACAUGGGUCCAUUUAAAUUAUAAUCCAUGGCAUUAAAUUUCCAUAAAUUGACCCAUUCUUUUGUCAUUAGCAGCGAUGUACUUUCCUCACAAUCACACUAACUGCUACACUAAUGGUAUAAUCGAACACUGGGUCAAAUAGAACAAUCUUUGUGCGAAA